AAACCCAUCCAGAAGAUGGAAGGGAUGACCAACGGCGUGGCCGCGGGGCAGCAGCAGCCUGCGGGGCUCUCCGACAUCAGCACCCAAGUGCAGCAGUACCAGCAGUUCCUAGAUGCCUCGAGGACGCUGCCCGAUUUCCCCGAGCUGGAGCUGCACGGCAAAGCUCUGCCCGAAGGCGCCUGCGCCGAGGACGUGCGCGCCUUCCAGCUGCUGUACCGCGAGCACUGCGAGGCUAUCGUGGAU